CCUACGGGAGGCAGCAGUGAGGAAUCUUCGUCAAUGGGCGGAAGCCUGAACCAGCCAAGUAGCGUGCGGGAUGAAGGCCCUACGGGUCGUAAACCGCUUUUGCACGGGGAUAACACCCUCCACUUGUGGAGGUCUGCAGGUACCGUGCGAAUAAGGGCCGGCUAAUUCCGUGCCAGCCGCCGCGGUACGACGGAAGGCCCGAGCGUUAUCCGGAUUCAUUGGGCUUAAAGGGAGCGUAGGCGGGCGUUCAAGUCAGCUGUAAAAUCGCGCGGCUCAACCGCGCCCCGCAGUUGAAACUGGACGACUUGAGUGCAGAAGAGGCAGGCGGAAUUCGUGGUGUAGCGGUGAAAUGCAUAGAUAUAACGAGGAACCCCGAUGGCGAAGGCAGCCUGCCGGGGUGCGACUGACGCUGAGGCUCGAAGGUGCGGGUAGCAAACAGGAUUAGAUACCCGGGUAGUC
rnacentral:rRNA from 1 species